rnacentral:lncRNA from 1 species
GUGGCUGGGCCGAUUAAGUAGAUCAGGCCAUAUCAAUUUUAAACCUAUUUUGGAUUGGGAUAUUACACUUAACAACUUGAGAACAUGUCAUAACAACCUACUGACAUAGCGUAACAACACAAGGCAUGUUGUAACAGCCUCCCACAUGAUGGAAUUGCUAAAACCUCAUGUGUAUUUGAACAGAGGGGUCAAGUUGCUCCUACCCUGAGGAGGUCCUAC